rnacentral:rRNA from 1 species
AUGUCGUUCGCUGGCGUAUCCGUAGUUGCCAACGGCCGGCUGCUUAAGCCAGCGUCCGCGGCGUCGGCCAUCUACUCCGGCACGGCUAGCAGUGGCAGCCGGUGGUAUCACCAGCUUGUGGUGGAAGGUUACUCCCGCGUAAAGCACCUGCCCAAUGGACACAGAAUCAAGGGAAGGUCCUUCCGAGCUGGAGGAUAUCGAUGGAUUCUGGAAUUCUAUCCCAAUGGUGAUACCUUCAAGGCUGCUGGUUUCAUCUCUGUUUAUCUUGUCCUUGACCAGGAUGUUGCACUUGCACAGCCAGUCAAGGCGUUCCUGGAGUUCAGUUUCAUUAAUGAGCUUGACAGGCAAGAGCCUGCAUACAUCCGUGAAACCGAAACAGUUGACUUCAGCGGUGGCUGCAUUAGUUGGGGUCGUAGUUGUUUCAUAAAAAGAGAGGACCUUGAGAUGUCGGAGCAUCUCAAUGAUGAUUGUUUCACCAUUCGUUGUGAUAUCAUCAUCGCCGAAGCUGCUGCUGCGCCCUUGAUCGAGGUGCCACCAUCCAACAUAAGCGGGCAUUUGAACCAUCUCUUAGUGACAAAGGUGGGCGCCGACGUGAUGUUCGAGGUCGGCCAUGAGACAUUCGCCGUGCACCGGUGUGUGCUCGCGUCCCGUUCUGCCGUCUUCAUGGCAGAGCUCUUCGGGCCCAUGAAGGAGGGGAUUGCUACAGCUGGUGCCAUACAGAUACAAGACAUGGAACCGAACGUGUUCAAGGCCUUGCUCAGUUUCGUAUACACCGACUUGAUGCCUGAGAUGGAGGCGGAAGGGGAAGCCAGUGGUGAGGUUACGUGGCUGCAACACUUGCUUGUUGGGGCGGAUAGGUUUGAUCUCCAGCGGCUCAAGUUGAUGUGUGAAGAGAGGUUGUCGGCGCACAUAGAUUUGAGCUCAGUGACGGCCAUCCUUGGUCUGGCAGCGCAGCACCAUUGCCGCGGACUUAAGGAGGCCUGCCUGGAGUUUCUCAAAGUACAAUCUGCUGCAAUCUUGGGAGGAGUCAUGGCGACCAGCGACUGGCAGCACAUAUCUGCAACUGACCCCUCUGUUCUGAACGAGCUCAUCGCCAAGCUUGCCUCGAAAGCGUAG